rnacentral:tRNA from 1 species
GGGGAUGUAACCCAGUGGUAGAGUGUUUGCCUAUCCUGUUCAAGGUCCUGGGUUCAAUCCCCAGUACCACCA